rnacentral:rRNA from 1 species
UAAGAUGUGAGAUGUCAAAGUUGCAACAUCGACCAUUCCUGAACCUCCGGUGAAGGAUAUGAGUAAGAGCAUAAUCGGUAGGACCCGAAAGAUGGUGAACUACACUUGAGUAGGGUGAAGCCAGGGGAAACUCUGGUGGAGGCUCGUAGCGUUACUGACGUGCAAAUCGUUCGUCAAACUUGCGUGUAGGGGCGAAAGACUAAUCGAACCAUCUAGUAGCUGGUUCCCUCUGAAAUUUCUCUCAGGAAAGCUGGAACAGUUAAUGCAGUUUUAUCAGGUAAAGCUAAUGAUUAGAGGAAUCGGAGUCCUGUGGGCUUUGACCUCUUCUCAAACUUUAAAUUGGUAAGAACUCCGAGUUAUCUUAAUUGAACGAGGAGAAUCAAUGUAUUGUUCUUAGUGGGCCAUUUUUGGUAAGCAGAACUGGCGAUGAGGGAUGAACCUAACGCUGAGAUAAGGUGCCCAAAUUCACGCUCAUGAGAUCCCAUAAAAGGUGUUAGUUAAUAUAGACAGAUGGACUAUGGUC